rnacentral:ncRNA from 2 species
GUCUUCACCUUGGGGUGCCCUGCCAAAGGGCUGAGAGACUGCUGAAGGUCCGUUCCGUCGCGGGACAGGCCGGCGCAGUGACCCAUCGAACCUGAUCCAGUUCAUGCUGGCGGAGGGAUGGUGGCUGCUGACAGA